rnacentral:ncRNA from 1 species
CAUUGUGAAAUGGAAUCUGAAGGAAGCCGGAUUCGGGGAACAUACUAACCCGAGGGCAAACCUCUGGCCUGACGAACAGGAAGCUCAUAUAAGGUUUCAGUUGAGGGUAAGACUGCUACUCAAGCCGAAGCCCGAUAACUACACGGAAUCAGCUGGAAUAAAUGAGACAGGUAGGUGGAGGGAAAGAAAC